GCGCCUUCCGAACACAGCAAUACAACGUGAACGACACAUCAUACCAACUGUUGACGACCUAAUCCAUGAUCUGAAUGGAGCAGUGGUGUUCUCCAAACUAGAUCUUAAUGCUGGAUACCACCAGCUUGAGUUACAUCCAGACUCAAGGUACAUCACUACACAUACUGACCUCUGGAGAUACACCAGACUGAACUUUGGCAUAAAUUCAGCUGCCGAGGUGUUUCAAAAUGCAAUACAGCAAGUGCUGCAAGGCAUUCCCAAUGUGAGAAACAUGAGCGAUGACAUCCUAGUCUACGGUAGCUCUCAAGAUGAACACAACGCAAGUGUAAAGCUGUGUUUCAGAGAUUGAGAUGUCAAGACAAUCAAAUUUAUUUAUAUAGCCCUUCGUACAUCAGCUGAUAUCUCAAAGUGCUGUACAGAAACCCAGCCUAAAACCCCAAACAGCAAGCAAUGCAUGUGAAAGAAGCAUGGUGGCUAGGAAAAACUCCCUAGGAAAAACUCCCUAGAAAGGCCAAAAACCUAGGAAGAAACCUAGAGAGGAACCAGGCUAUGAGGGGUGGCCAGAGCAGGGUGGAUAUUAUAACAGAACAUGGUCAAGAUGUUAAAAUGUUCAUAAAUGACCAGCAUGGUCAAAUAAUAAUAAUCAUAGUAGUUGUCGAGGGUGCAACAAGCACGUCCGGUGAACAGGUCAGGGUUCCAUAGCCGCAGGCAGAACAGUUGAAACUGGAGCAGCAGCACGGCCAGGUGGACUGGGGACAGCAAGGAGUCAUCAUGCCAGGUAGUCUUGAGGCAUGGUCCUAGAGCUCAGGUCCUCCGAGAGAAAGACAGAAAGAGAGAAAGAGGGAAUUAGAGAGAGCAUAUUUAAAUUCACACAGGACACCGGAUAAGACAAGAGAAAUACUCCAGAUGUAACAGUCUGACCCUAGCCCCACGGCACAUAAACUACUGCAGCAUAAAUACUGGAGGCUGAGACAGGAGGGAUCAGAAGACACUGUGGCCCCAUCCGAUGAUACUCCCGGACAUGGCCAAACAGGCAGGAUAUAACCCCACCCACUUUGCCAAAGCACAGCCCCCACACCACUUGAGGGAUGUCUCCAACCACCAACUUACCGUCCUAAGACAAGGCCGAGUAUAGCCCACAACGAUCUCCGCCAUGGCACAACCCAAGGGGGGGGGCGCCAACCAAGACAGGAAGACCACGUCAGUGACUCAACCCACUCAAGUGACGCACCCCUCCCAUGGACGGCAUGGAAGAACACCAGUAAGCCAGUGACUCAGCCCCUGUAAUAGGGUUAGAGGCAGAGAAUCCCAGUGGAGAGAGGGGAACCGGCAAGGCAGAGACAGCAAGGGCGGUUCGUUGCUCCAGCCUUUCCGUUCACCUUCACACUCCUGGGCCAGAC
rnacentral:lncRNA from 1 species